UUUUUAGAACUGCAAGACAAAUACAGUUGAGGCAAUGAUUGGCCUCAGGGCUAAUCGUCACUUGUGGACCUUGCAAAUGUUGGAAGCUAUGCAACUUUGAGAUGGAAACCAAAGCCUAAUCUUUGUGACAGAAAACUAUUAG